GACGAACGCUGGCGGCGUGCCUAAUACAUGCAAGUUGAGCGCUGAAGGUUGGUACUUGUACCAACUGGAUGAGCAGCGAACGGGUGAGUAACGCGUGGGGAAUCUGCCUUUGAGCGGGGGACAACAUUUGGAAACGAAUGCUAAUACCGCAUAAAAACUUUAAACACAAGUUUUAAGUUUGAAAGAUGCAAUUGCAUCACUCAAAGAUGAUCCCGCGUUGUAUUAGCUAGUUGGUGAGGCAAAGGCUCACCAAGGCGAUGAUACAUAGCCGACCUGAGAGGGUGAUCGGCCACAUUGGGACUGAGACACGGCCCAAACUCCUACGGGAGGCAGCAGUAGGGAAUCUUCGGCAAUGGACGAAAGUCUGACCGAGCAACGCCGCGUGAGUGAAGAAGGUUGUCGGAUCGUAAAACUCUGUUGGUAGAGAAGAACGUUGGUGAGAGUGGAAAGCUCAUCAAGUGACGGUAACUACCCAGAAAGGGACGGCUAACUACGUG
rnacentral:rRNA from 1 species